UAAGAUUGUAAACAAUUCGCGUACGAAAACGAACGACCGGCGAGAGGAAAGUCUGAAAGCUUAACAUCUGUCGUAUGUUUCUGAAAAAUAAGCAAGAUUAGCAGCCGAGGGUGCCUGCCACGCCUAGAACUUAUCUAGCUAAAAAGACACUAGCCAUUGGUUAAAUGAAGGGUAAUCUGAGGAAAAACUAUCGGCAGCAACCCGAUCUAAACUAUCGAAGCUUAACUGGAUGUUUGAUUGCCGUAGGAUGCAACCCGAAGCUGCUUCAGACCCACCAGAACGAGCUCCGUGCUUCCUUGCGAUCUCAAUGGAAAUCCUCGAUACAGUUUUCCGGUUACCAGACCCUGAAGUCAGCUCGUCUCCUGGUUUGGCUUCGUCAUGCGUCAUCCCAUCCCGACCAUCGAUGAUGAUAAUCGGAAGCGAAUUUAGUGCCAGUCCCAAACUGCAGUGCGUUCAGGAUCUGGUAAACUACCUCUACAUCACCACAACCACUACUGUUACGGAAAGAUUCUCACCUUCAUUAACUGUGACAAUUGUUGUACAUUUCAAAAUGAUCAACGUUUGUUAAUUGAAAAAGAGUAGUUCUACCCGGAGGCA